rnacentral:lncRNA from 1 species
CUAAGAUGAAAGGUAAGGGUUUUAAAAAAAUAAAAAAAGAGAUAUUAUAGAAGGCAGCGAGGUGGCUUAGUGGAUAGAGGGCCGGGCCUGGAGAUGGGAGGUCCGGGACUCAAAUCUGGCCUCAGGCACAUCCUCGCUGUGUGACCCUGGGUAAGUCACUUAACCUCCAUUGCCCAGCCCUUCCAGCUCUUCUGUCUUGGAAUCAAUACGCAAUAUUGAUUCCUAGAUGGAAGGUGAGGGUAAUUAAAAAAGAGAGAGCGUGAUUGCAGAAGCCAAAUUGGCAGGCCUUGGCACCAGAUUGGAUCUGCGGGCUACGAGAAAGCGAGGUGUCCAGACGGAUGCUCAGGUUGGCAGCCUGCGGCGUUGCCCUCCACACUAACAUGGAUGGCUGUUAGAAGAGAGGGAAGCGUUAGAGGGAAAGCUAACGAGUCUGGACACGGCAUCCCUGCCUCCAGAGUAUUCUUCAUGCCCCGAGCCCCGUAUGUACCUGCUGUCUCCGUCAUCGAAUUUGCUCUAACAGGGAAGGGCUAUCUGAAGGCUGAGAUCCUGUGUUUUCAGCUGUCAUUUCGGCAAGAAGAUGUGGCUGCUGGGAAUGUCACCUCCUCACUCCUAGGAACAUCAGCAUCGCUCAGUUUCCAGGAAGAUUUAAGGUUUCCAAGCACUUCCAGCACAAGAGUCCCUCGAGGGGAGGAGGUUGUUUUGGUUCCCCCCAUUUUACAGGGGAGGAAAUGAGGCCUGGAAAAGUGAAGGAGUUUGCUGGGGUGGGGGUGCAUGGGUGGGACAGAGGGCUGCUAAAUGUGGGAGCUUGCGGGCCCUCAAAUGCAGACUUUCUGACUUCAGGGGCAGAGUUCUUUGUUCCAUCCUGGAGGCUUUUCAUAGGACAGGAGAGCCUGAAUGGCCCUCAAGAUCCAGCCUCUCAUUGGUCAAUUUUGGGGAAUGUCGCAGAGCCCAGGCCUGGGGACCCUCCUCCGGACAGAUAGUUUCUCUUGCCCCAAGUCUCAGGACUUCAAGCAUUUGUCAUCUUUACUUACGGUAGUGAUGGGGCAGGGCCAGAAAGACCAGAGCCUCCAGCAGAAGGGGAAUUCAUCGAGGGCAAGGACUAUCCUUUGGUCUUUGUAUCCCCAACACCUUGCCUUGUCCCCCCCCCCCCAUAGGGGCAUGCUAAAUAGGUACUGAUUGAUAGAUUGAAUGAAAGAAAGCCUUUCUGGCUUGGGGAUACAGCCAAGGACCCCAGCAGUCCCAAGCCUGCCUUCUUGGUGCCUUCCACCUCUCAGGCCUCCACUGGCCUUUAUCCCCAGGGAGGGAUGGAGGGCACCCCCUAGGCAAGUUCCAGAAGAAGGCAAGGGAUUUGAGGAUUGCUGGGAGUGGAGGUAGAAGGGGGACAGAAGCGGAAGGGACAGACCAUUCUCUCCCCUCGCUGUUGCACCCGAGGUCACACUGUCUCUCGUGGGGCCCUUCCACUUUCCCCUGUGACCCUCGUGGAAGCAGAGGUUAGGCUUCUGCUCUGUGGGUCCAGAGAGGACUUUGCUCUGAGUGCAGGCAGUCCAAGUUUUGCCUCUAACACAAAGAUUUCCCUUUCCAACCUCUCUGUAUUCCCCAAGACUGUGACAAUUAAAACACAAACAAAGCCAUGGAAUGGCCUGAUUCCUCUUGACCUGUGGUCACAAGAUGAGGGGACCCCAGAAUUUAGAGUGAGAAGCCUCUUGGUAGAGACUCGAGCCCAAAUUUUACA